rnacentral:rRNA from 1 species
UGGGGAAUUUUGGACAAUGGGGGCAACCCUGAUCCAGCAAUGCCGCGUGUGUGAAGAAGGCCUUCGGGUUGUAAAGCACUUUUGUCCGGAAAGAAAACGUCGUGGUUAAUACCCGUGGCGGCUGACGGUACCGGAAGAAUAAGCACCGGCUAACUACGUGCCAGCAGCCGCGGUAAUACGUAGGGUGCAAGCGUUAAUCGGAAUUACUGGGCGUAAAGCGUGCGCAGGCGGUCCGCUAAGACAGAUGUGAAAUCCCCGGGCUUAACCUGGGAACUGCAUUUGUGACUGGCGGGCUAGAGUAUGGCAGAGGGGGGUAGAAUUCCACGUGUAGCAGUGAAAUGCGUAGAGAUGUGGAGGAAUACCGAUGGCGAAGGCAGCCCCCUGGGCCAAUACUGACGCUCAUGCACGAAAGCGUGGGGGAGCAAACAGGAUUAGAUACCCUGGUAGUCCACGCCCUAAACGAUGUCAACUAGUUGUUGGGGAUUCAUUUCCUUAGUAACGUAGCUAACGCGUGAAGUUGACCGCCUGGGGAGUACGGUCGCAAGAUUAAAACUUAAAUGAAUUGACGGGGGUCAU